UGAGGAAUAUUGGUCAAUGGUCGGGAGACUGAACCAGCCAAGCCGCGUGAGGGAGGAAGGUACAGAGUAUCGUAAACCUCUUUUGUCGGAGAACAAAACCCGGGACGUGUCCCGGACUGCGUGUAUCCGAAGAAAAAGCAUCGGCUAACUCCGUGCCAGCAGCCGCGGUAAUACGGAGGAUGCGAGCGUUAUCCGGAUUUAUUGGGUUUAAAGGGUGCGUAGGCGGUCCGUUAAGUCAGCGGUAAAAUUGCGGGGCUCAACCCCGUCGAGCCGUUGAAACUGGCAGACUUGAGUUGGCGAGAAGUACGCGGAAUGCGCGGUGUAGCGGUGAAAUGCAUAGAUAUCGCGCAGAACUCCGAUUGCGAAGGCAGCGUACCGGCGCCAGACUGACGCUGAGGCACGAAAGCGUGGGGAUCGAACAGG
rnacentral:rRNA from 1 species